GGGGGCGUAGCUCAACUGGGAGAGCACUCGGCUUGCACCCGAACGAUCGCGGUUCGAUCCCGCGCGCUUCCACCA
rnacentral:tRNA from 1 species